rnacentral:rRNA from 1 species
AUAUAACUAAGCGGAGGAAAAGAAACUAACAAGGAUUCCCCCAGUAACUGCGAGUGAAGCGGGACAAGCUCAGACUGAAAAUCUUCGGAAUUGUAGUCUGUCGAAACUGUGUCAGUGAUGAUCGGUGAGCAAAAUUUGGCUGGAAUGCCGUGCCGUGGAGGGUGAUAGCCCCGUUCAGGCUUGCUGAUCUAGCGUACGACCGGUUUUCUACGAGUCGAGUUGUUUGGGAUUGCAGCUCUAAGAGGGUGGUAAAUUCCAUCUAAAGCUAAAUAUCGGUGGGAGACCGAUAGCGCACAAGUA